rnacentral:tRNA from 1 species
GAUGUGUAGCUCAGUGGUAGGGCACACGCUUAGCAUGUGUGAAGCUCUGGUUUGAAUCCCCAGCACAUACA